GAUUGCCACCCCGUGGGCGCGGCCGGCAAGACCUGCAAUCAGACCACGGGCCAGUGUCCCUGCAAGGACGGCGUGACCGGCAUCACCUGCAACCGCUGUGCCAAGGGCUACCAGCAGAGCCGCUCUCCCAUCGCCCCCUGCAUAAAGAUCCCGGCGGCACCACCGACCACAGCCGCCAGCAGCGUGGAGGAGCCAGAAGCACUUUUGGACCCAAACGAGGAGAGGCCACAUGGGUGACUGCCAAGUAGAUAUGCCAUUUUGAAGGGCUCAGGACUGCACGUAAAAGCUGUGCUUUGCCCG
rnacentral:lncRNA from 1 species